UACGUAGGGGGCAAGCGUUGUCCGGAUUUAUUGGGCGUAAAGAGCGUGUAGGCGGUUUGGUAGGUCCGCUGUGAAAACUCGAGGCUCAACCUCGAGACGCCGGUGGAAACCAUCAGACUAGAGUCCGGAAGAGGAGAGUGGAAUUCCGUGGUGUAGCGGUGAAAUGCGUAGAUAUCAGGAGGAACACCGAUGGCGAAGGCAGCCCCCUGGGUUAACACUGACGCUCAGGCACGAAAGCGUGGGGAGCAAACAGG
rnacentral:rRNA from 1 species